AAAUUUUGUUAUAGAUUGAAUUUGGCUUUUGUUUGUAAUUCAUGAAUGGAAUCAGAGUCCCCCAUUCCCACUGCCACCCCCAUCCCGGGCAAUGGCAGAAUGGUGGGGACAAGAAAACAGAACAAGAAAAAAAGGUGAUUGGUCAACUUCCGGUUACUUUUUUGGUAAGGGUUAAACAGAGGGGACUUGCUUAUUAUGCAACUCAGGUAGACUGGAAUCUCUCCUGCUUUCAGCAAAAAUAGGGCCGUGGAGAUGUAUCUAUUUCCUUCAAGUUUCAGUUUGAUUACAUGGCAUUUAGCAUGAGUGACUUCAUUUUGGUUUGGACUGGUCUGUUGGGUCCUAGUGCUAGAGCUCAGCCUAAAAAAUGGCCUCCCAUAAUUUUUGUUUAAUACUAGUAUCACACUAUAAAUGGAAGGCAACUUUAGGCCAGAGAUGGGCUCACAUCAGAAAAAUCCAGAAUUCAAUCAUGUGCCCUGAUUUAAAACCACCAAUGUCGUUUGAAAGCCUUUCUGGGCUGACAAAGUUUUGUGUGAUUGAUCUCUGACACCACUCUCUCUAGAGCUUCACCCCCUACAGUGCAGGCCUAUUGACCUUCUUCUAGGCCCUAGACUUGCCAAGCUCACUCUUCCUCUGUAUUUGAUGUGACCAGCUUUUUCUUGUCAUUCCAAUUUCUGCUUAAAUGUCGCCUCCUGAAGUAGUUGCUGUUGGUGUCCUGCACAGAAGCUUAGGUACUUUUACUAGCUCUGUUUGACCACUCCCUUUCCCCCCAAAUCUUCCAUGUCACCAACAGCAUACUUUACAUAUUUUGUUUAAAAAAUAUUUGUUGAAUAGAGGGGAAAACAUAGAUAAAUGGCUAGAUUGACACAUUUGAAGGAUUAUAAUGAAUUGAUUUGAAUAAUUAAUUGAUAAGACAGAAAACUUGUUAAUUAUUAUCUGCUAAACACAAUAGUUUUCAGAGUAACAGAGGAUUAGCUAAGAGAAUAAAAUGAAUACAGGAUGAUUUACAGAGGAAUUCUCAAGACUGGGCAUCAUAACCAGAGGUGUCCCAAGUGAGUCAGCAGAGAGCAGGAGGAAUGCUCUGCACAUCUGGGGACUACCAUCGGGACCACUAAAGACAAAUGUAUUUGCUGUUAGUUUCGAUUAGGCAGACUCAUAAAAUACUACAGCUUGGCGUGCCACGCAGGCUGAGCCUUGAGAUGACACAAAGCACGAUGCCUGCAUCGGGUUAUCAUAUUUGGCAGAUUGGAAAAUGGCUGUCUAUGCCACCUGAAGGCCAAUGUGACUGUUUUAGAUGAUAAAACUCUCACAAUCUCUGACCCUUAUACAGCAUGAUUUCUGAUUCCCUAGACUGAUCAGAGCCUUCUAGUGUCAAAGGGAUGUGAAUUAUUUGACUGCAUGUCUUCCUGUCUGCCCUCCUCCCAGCUCAUUGAAUGAGAAGACACGUUACUGUGAUGCAAGGUGUGAAAGUUGCUGAUGUUUACAGGAAACCGAUUGGAACAAGAUAUCAACACAGACUGAGGCAACCACAGACAAGACUGUAUGCUGAGAUGGAAGACCCAAAAGAUUGAAGCAGCCUGGAUAACUCGGGUACCACACAGAGGACAACUGCCCUAGAGAGUUGCCUUGACCCACAAAAGACAUUGCAUGAGAUGGAAAUAAACUUUUAUUGUGUCAAACCUUUGA